ACUAUAGUAGUUCUGCCCUUUGGUCUCUGACUGAAAUGUGAUAGGACUCAAGAUGAGGGCCAGUUUUUUUUUUUUUAAACCCUUACCUUCCGUCUUGGAGUCAAUACUGUGUAUUGGCUCCAAGGCAGAAGAGUGGUAAGGGCUAGGCAAUGGGGGUCAAAUGACUUUCCCAGGGUCACACAGCUGGGAAGUGUCUGAGGCCAGAUUUGAACCUAGGACCUCCAGUCUCUAGGCCUGGUUCUCAAUCCACUGAGCUACCCAGCUGCCCCCGAGGGCCAGUUGUUAUAAUUUUUCCUCUCUUCAUCAACCAUUGUCUUUCAUUCAAUUUCUUUCUUUCAUUCAGUUUCUUUUGCUUUUCUUUCUUUCUUUUUUCUUUUUCUUCCUUUUUUCUUUCUUUCUUUCUUUUUCUUUCUUUCUUUCUUUCUUUCUUUCUUUCUUUCUUUCUUUCUUUCUUUCUUUCUUUCUUUCUUUCUUUCUUUCUUUCUUUCUUUCUUUCUUUCUUUCUUUCUUUCUUUCUUUCUUUCUUUCUUUCUUCCUUUUCCUCCUCCUUCUUUUCUUUCCUUUCUUUCUUUCUUUCUUUCUUUCUUUCUUUCUUUCUUUCUUUCUUUCUUUCUUUCUUUCUUUCUUUCUUUCUUUCUUUCUUUCUUUCUUUCUUUCUUUCUUUCUUUCUUUCUUUCUUUCUUUCUUUCUUUCUUUCUUUCUUUCUUUCUUUCUUUCUUUCUUUCUUUCUUUUUCUCUACAUUCCAUAUUAAAAUCAAUACUGUAUAUUGUUUCCAAGGCAGAAGAGUGGUAAGUGUCUGGC
rnacentral:lncRNA from 1 species